rnacentral:antisense_RNA from 1 species
AAUUCUAAACAGCUUGCUCUAGCCACAAAAAGGAUCAUUCAUGUAAAUCAGAGAUAAAAACCAAACUGCGUUUGGUAAGGAUACUUUCUUCUCAAUAUCCUGGAGGUUGUCUCAUUCCCCAGGGGUGUGUUUUUUUUUUUAAAGGCAAUAUGCAAAUGAGGUAGGUGAGCAUGUGACAGAACAAUCAAAAUUCAUGCAUGAUGAGAAGGAUCGAAUGCCUGCACUUGGAAUUAAUUUUGGAAGAACUGUCUGGUCUCUUUGAGAAUCUUUUCAUUGAAAGCAGUAUUUGGGGACUCAUUUGAUUACAGAUGUCACAGAUAUCUCAGUCUGACCACUGCCAGCUUGACCUUCUCAUCAUUUAGUAUGAAAAUCCCAGGGCUUCUGAGAGCCACACCCCACCCAAGGAAGUUUAACAUUGGAGUUCACAACAUGAUUUCCAUUCUAUGGAAGAAUUAUUUAUGCUCAGUUAAAUGCUGCAAGAUGUUCUGUACAUAUUACAGCCAAUGUGUACUGCCACAAAUCAAUCACUUUGUAUACCUCCAAACACAUUUUCAACU